rnacentral:rRNA from 1 species
UACAGAGGUCUCAAGCGUUGUUCGGAUUCAUUGGGCGUAAAGGGUGCGUAGGCGGCGCGGUAAGUCGGGUGUGAAAUCUCGGAGCUUAACUCCGAAACUGCAUUCGAUACUGCCGUGCUUGAGGACUGGAGAGGAGACUGGAAUUCAUGGUGUAGCAGUGAAAUGCGUAGAGAUCAUGAGGAAGACCAGUGGCGAAGGCGGGUCUCUGGACAGUUCCUGACACUGAGGCACGAAGGCCAGGGGGAGCAAACGGGG